CAAGUGCUUGAUUUGUUGUGA
rnacentral:miRNA from 1 species